CGUGUUGACUUAAAUGAAAAAAGUGACAGUUGGAUUUAUGUAACGCCCUGAGCGUGUGUGUGUGUGUUUUUUUUUCUUUGCUUUAGAACUAUCCGAUGACCGAGGAGGGAUCGGUUCCGCUUUGUGUUCAACACUGAGCAGAAAACUAAUUAUCAUCACAGCAAGUAGGUGGUCACGCAACGCAGUGUGCCUUGCGCAGCUUUGGCACAUUUCGGCGCACCGACUGACACCGUUUUCUAAAGUGGGUUGCUAUACAAUCCAGGCAAUGGACAUGCCCUAUAUCAACUGCAGCGAUUCGCAGUAGACAGGAUGUCCCGGGCCCGAUCCAUCUGACAAGCCAAUCGAGCCCUCUAUCACCAUAGAAGAUGGUGUCUCCAUCCAUGUCGAUAGCCUGAUAAAAUCACAGUGAACUGGAUUUUCCGUCUCAGCAAUCGUUGAGUUUUCUGAGUUGUUUGCUAUCUUCCAAACACGGAUUUCACGAAAUUUUCACAGAAAAGCUAAAAAGUGGCACUAUUCCAUAGAACCAAGCUGAAGGGAUCGACUUUGCCUCAUGUCCUCUACGUAGUACUGAAUUGAUAGCCAAUAAAAAAAGUUCUAAUAAACGAUACAAAAAAGCGCCAGUGGCCUUGUCGUCAGCAAAUUCCAAAGGCGGGACAAUGAGUGAAAAAAUGCAGGGGAAUCUGGGGAAAUAACAUAAAUAUAAGAGUCAAUGCCGCUUCUUACUCAAGCUGUCAAACAAUUAA